AGUAACGGUUCACCAUGGAGGGAGGAAGAAGGAGGAGGGACCGUUGGCUGUUGUCUCUUUUAAACAUGGAUGAUGAGUCUUCAGGUUGGCCUUGAAAUCCACAGACUCUUUGACCUUAGUGCCCAGCAGAGCUCCCAACAUGGCGUCAGCUGACACCCUCACCCUCUUCAGGGCCGGUCUCUUCAUCUUGCCCUUCAACUCAAAGAUCUUCUGAGACAGUCUUCAGGUUGGCCUUGAAGUCCACAGACUCUUUGACCUUAGCGCCCAGCAGAGCUCCCAACAUGGCAUCAGCUGACACCCUCACCCUCUUCAGGGCCGGUCUCUUCAUUUUACCCUUCAGCUCAAAGAUCUUCAGUGACAGAUUUU